rnacentral:tRNA from 1 species
GGGGUUGUAGUUAAUAAUAACAUUUAAUUUGCAAUUAAAAAGAACUAUAUUUAGUCUUCCUCA